rnacentral:rRNA from 1 species
GACGAACGCUGGCGGCGUGCCUAAUACAUGCAAGUAGAACGCUGAAGGAGGAGCUUGCUUCUCUGGAUGAGUUGCGAACGGGUGAGUAACGCGUAGGUAACCUGCCUGGUAGCGGGGGAUAACUAUUGGAAACGAUAGCUAAUACCGCAUAAUAGUAGAUGUUGCAUGACAUUUGCUUAAAAGGUGCAAUUGCAUCACUACCAGAUGGACCUGCGUUGUAUUAGCUAGUUGGUGGGGUAACGGCUCACCAAGGCGACGAUACAUAGCCGACCUGAGAGGGUGAUCGGCCACACUGGGACUGAGACACGGCCCAGACUCCUACGGGAGGCAGCAGUAGGGAAUCUUCGGCAAUGGACGGAAGUCUGACCGAGCAACGCCGCGUGAGUGAAGAAGGUUGUCGGAUCGUAAAGCUCUGUUGUAAGAGAAGAACGAGUGUGAGAGUGGAAAGUUCACACUGUGACGGUAUCUUACCAGAAAGGGACGGCUAGCUACGUG